GGGGAAUAUUGCGCAAUGGGCGAAAGCCUGACGCAGCCACGCCGCGUGAGCGAUGAAGGCCUUCGGGUCGUAAAGCUCUGUGGGGAGAGACGAAGAAAGCCUGUGAAGAGCAGGCCUUGACGGUAUCUCCUUAGCAAGCCCCGGCUAACUACGUG
rnacentral:rRNA from 1 species